GGGUAGUAGAACAAUGGGAUUAUGCUGUCACAAAAACCAAAGAAAAAACAUAAUUUCUUAAAUCAUGGUCUGUCACUGAAUCUGGUUAUAAAACCUUAUCUUGCACUAGAAGGAUCUGUAGCUUUUCCAGCUGAGAAUGGGGUUCAGGAUACCGAAUCAACACAAGAAAAGAGAGAAACUGGGGAUGAAGAAAACUCAGCUAAAUUUCCUGUAGGAAGGAGAGAUUUUGACACACUCAGCUGUAUGCUGGGAAGAGUCUACCAAUCUUGCUGGCAAGUCUGAUUCUUUUUUUGAUAUGGACCUGUUGGUCUAUGUCAUCUUUUCAGAAGAAAAGCAUUUAAUUGCCAAUGGGAGGAGAAGCCCAUAAUGUUACUGUAACUUGGGUAUUAUGUUAAAUGUCUGUUUUAAAAGAAAGUAGCGUUAAGAUAGAUCAGUAACCAAAAUCAUAGGCUUUUUCUGUGCAUUUAACUUUGUGAAAAUUCUGUAUAAUUAUGACUUACUAGUAUUUUUGAACAAUGCUUAACAUACUAACCUUACAUACACUCUAGACCAAAAUAAGGCAUCAUAAUUUACACCUUAAUCUCAAAAAUUAAGCAUGUCUUUGGUGAAUGGUUUUAUAUAUACAUAAACCUAAAGCAUAUAAGACAAAAAUUUAUGUUUGGAGCCUGUGUUCUGUAAAGAGAAGGUUGAUUUGUCUUUUAGCUAUCGUAUUUGGAGUGGAACUAUAAUACAAAUGUAUAAUAUUCCUUUUUUUUUUUUUUUUUUUGAGAUGGAGUCUCACUCUGUUGCCCAGGCUGGAGUGCAAUGGCACGAUCUCGGCUCACUGAAACCUCUGCCUCCCGGGUUCAAGCAAUUUCUUGCCUCAGCCUCAUGAAUAGCUGGGAUUACAGGUGCCCACCACCAUGCCUGGCUAGUUUUUGUAUUUUUAGUAGAGGCAAGGUUUCACCAUCUUGGUCAAGUUGGUCUGGAACUCCUGACCUCGUGAUCCACCUGCCUCGGCUUCCCAAAGUGCUGGGAUUACAGGCGUGCACCACUGAGUCCAGCCUAUAUUCUUGUUUAUCAGUUCAAAAAUGUUCUGCUCUGUUUUUGACUCUUUAAAAAUAACUUAGAUUCAAAUUUAUAGUAGAAGAAAAAAAAUCUUUCAGAUAAGAGGUGUUCUCCAGAAUGGAGGAACUACUUGGCAUGUAAGAAAUAGCGUCAGUGUCCUAAUGCAUAUUGUGACUGUUUGCAUAUACUUCUGUUUGUAAAAAUAUCAGUUUUACUUUUCAGAGGAUUUGUAAGAAACAUUUAAAUUUUCAUUGAAAUAAAUGACAAGUCAUACUGCCACUUAAAAAAAAAAAGACCUUUGUCAAGGAGAGUGCAGUCAACCAGUAAAUUGCAGAUUCUCAGAAUGUUUAUUGACGUACUGAUUAUUCAUUCUGUUAUACUCUAACAUCUGUAUAUUUUUACCAGUAUUCUCAGACCACUUCUACCAAAACAUAAAUCUGUGAUUGUGAUCUCUGAAAGUCAGUCCUUUUAUCUACUCAAUAACUGAUCUGAUAAUGUCAACUUUUGAAAACAGAUAGUUAUGACUCAAGGCUUUGAGAAUGUAAAGAGACCACCUUCACUUGUUGAGAAAUGGUACGAUUUCACGUUAUCAGUGCAGUUCCGUUCUCGGGGGAAAGCCCAUCCGUACUACCAGGAGACUGGAUCCGCAAAGUAGACACUUGGUCUCAUGAAGCCACUGCUGGGCUCCAGAGAGAAGGGAAAACUAAGAGGUUUUAAAACCCCUACCCUCCUUGGUUUACCUCCAUCAUUAAAAAACAACAAUGACAACGACAACAAAAAACAAAACUAAAACGACUUAUUAUUUAUUAAUUAUGUUGUGGCAGACAAUAUGCUGAACAUUAGACAUAAUUAAAUCUUUUUAAAAAUUGA
ensembl:lncRNA novel transcript